GCGCGAGACACGUCUCUACUAUAUAGCGGCACUUGAGUCGCACGUGUAUGGUCCGAGGCUGGAAUCUUUACUCGUGUGGAACCAGUAGGCUGUGAUUUUAGAGGCUCAACAGGCGGUGAUUUUAUCAAACACUUCCCUCUUCUCUUUUCUUUCCAGGCAAAAAAACCCUCGCUCCAAGCUCUGGGUUCGGCUCGGAUUCUGCGUAGCAACUGAAGGCGUUUCAACCUGGAUCGAAAAGCGUAAGCAAUGAAAGAUGGAGAAUUUUUAACGUUGAAAACAUGGUGAGGUAUAGGGCAAUUGUGAGAUUCUUCUCCACAUAGAUUAGAAGUUCACUUUUUGUCCUUAAGUUAUAAUUGAGUUGUAAAUUUUGUCUUUUUUAUUACAAAA